CCCUUAGAUGUUCUGGGCUGCACGCGCGCUACACUGAAGCUAUCAACACGUUUUCCCUCCCUGAGAAGGGCGGGUAACCUUUUGAAUCAGCUUCGUGGUAGGGAUCGGGGCUUGCAAUUGUUCCCCGUGAACCAGGAAUUCCUAGUAGACGCGAGUCAUAAGCUCGCAUCGAUUAAGUCCCUGCCCUUUGUACACACCGCCCGUCGCUACUACCGAUUGAACGUUUUAGUGAGGCAUUUGGACCGACGCAUCUCAGUUUAACCGCUGGUGUGUGUUGGAAAGACUUCCAAACUUGAGCGUUUAGAGGAAGUAAAAGUCGUAACA
rnacentral:rRNA from 1 species